UCCGCGAUGGCAGUCGGUGCUU
rnacentral:piRNA from 1 species